UUCUUAUCCAGAGAGGCUGAGGGACUGGCCCUGCGAAGCCCGGCAACCUUCUUAAGGAGACUUAAGAAAGGUGCUAAUUCCUGCGGAAGAUAAUUCUUCUGAAAGAUAAGAA
rnacentral:ncRNA from 2 species